UACGAAGGGGGCUAGCGUUGCUCGGAAUCACUGGGCGUAAAGGGUGCGUAGGCGGGUCUUUAAGUCAGGGGUGAAAUCCUGGAGCUCAACUCCAGAACUGCCUUUGAUACUGAAGAUCUUGAGUUCGGGAGAGGUGAGUGGAACUGCGAGUGUAGAGGUGAAAUUCGUAGAUAUUCGCAAGAACACCAGUGGCGAAGGCGGCUCACCUGGCCCGAUACUGACGCUGAGGCACGAAAGCGUGGGAGCAAACAGG
rnacentral:rRNA from 1 species